rnacentral:rRNA from 1 species
UACGGAGGGUGCAAGCGUUAUCCGGAUUCACUGGGUUUAAAGGGUGCGUAGGCGGGUUGGUAAGUCCGUGGUGAAAUCCCCAAGCUUAACUUGGGAACUGCCGUGGAUACUAUCAAUCUUGAAUAUCGUGGAGGUAAGCGGAAUAUGUCAUGUAGCGGUGAAAUGCUUAGAUAUGACAUAGAACACCAAUUGCGUAGGCAGCUUACUACACGAUCAUUGACGCUGAGGCACGAAAGCGUGGGUAGCAAACAGG